rnacentral:tRNA from 1 species
GGGGUGGUAGUAGAGUUGGUUACAACGCUGGCCUGUCACGCCGGAGGUCGCGGGUUCAAAUCCCGUCCAUCCCGCCA